AUGCCUCUGUCAUCGCUCUGCUGCGCUGGGGAGGCCCAGGGACAGCCAGCUCCAACCCACCAGGUCAUGCCCCUGAUGCUUCAAGGAUUUCCUGCUUUCCGAGAAAAACCUUGGGCUCGCAUAUCCCAUACUGUACAUUUGACGCAGGUUCCUGCCAAGAGCUGUGGCGACCUGGAACCUGUCCUAGAAUCAUGGGAGACUUCCCCGGGUGCCGGUCCAUCAGACGGUGCAUGCACACGCACGCACACACGGAGUAACACGCAAACUCCACACAGAAGGCACCCUUGUCCGGAAUCAAACCCAGGAACCGAGAGCUGUGAGGCAUCUGGGCUUAUUACCGUGCUGCCUGUGUUCAUCCAUGCUUUUAAUAAUUCCACAAGAACCCACCGUUGAAUAUAAAGACCCUCAGACCUAUAUCAAAUGUCCUGCAGCACCUCAGCUGCCCACCCGCUGUGUCUCCCCCUGCACUACUCAUGUUUCCCCACUGUCACUCCCCCACACCACGCUUCAGGAGAAAGACCACCCUUCUUAACUGGCUUUCAUCUCCCUAAUUAGAGUAUACCCCAGAGGUGCUGGGAGAUCAGUCCGGGAGACAGAGGGAUUUGUUCCAUUUUUGUGCUGAGUCCACUAGACAGGAGCCGUCAUAGGCUCCACGAGGUGAGCACUCGAAAUCCAUCCGUGCAUUUCUCAACUGCUUUUUCCAAGUCAGGGUGGUGGGGGAGCUGGGACUUAUCCCGGCAUGAACGGUCUCAAGGCAGAGCACACCCUGGAUGGGAUGCCAGUUCAUGUCCGUCUCAGGACACACAGACACACACUCACAUCCAGUGCCGGUUUCCCUGGAAGCCCAUUAUCCUCCCAGCAUAUCUUUGGACUGUGGGAGGAAACUGGAGCACCAGGAGGAAACCCAGGGGAGAACAUACAAACUCCACACAGACAGCACCUCGGGUCCAGAAUUGAACCCAGGGCCUCAGUGCUACAAGGCAGCAAUGCUGAUCACUGUGCCACUGUUCCAUUCCCCCUCAAAUCCUAAAACAUUUUAUUAACCUAUUUCGUUUAUAGAGCAUAUGCAUUCUUUUGAAAAUUGUGGCGCACAGCCACUCAGAGAAAAAAAAUAUUCAAAAGAAUAAAACCCCAUUUUAACAAAGUCAAUUUUAACAUAAGAUUGUUUUGUCAUUUUAAAGUUGUGGGUGCGGUCUGAUCUGGGCUUCAGUUUUUCAGGGAGACAUUCGGGAAUCCCAGUGGGAGACUCAGACACACUGCCCCGAGCCUGGGGGAUUGGGGGGUAGCCAUCAGGCCCUGAGAGGACCAGGGGAGACACAGAGGGUCAGCCCAGGGUGAGAAACUGAACUUCUGACACGCUGUGUGCGUCUGCAGAAUUACCCCUCUGUAAACACACCCUCCGUGUUAAAAGGGUUAAGAAACUAGAAACUGGAACGACCUCUUGCUGUGAACAAUGCAGAUGUAUUUGAUGAGCUUAGAAUGAUCAGGAACUAUUUUAUUACAAAUAACAUGGUUAAUAGAGAAGGUAAACUUUGCUACUUGGUUCAUGCCAUUCUGUAUUCAGCAGGACUGUUUCCAAAGCAGUACCUAUCAAUAAGGUAUAGUUCUAAUGACAUUGAUGGAUAAAAACUGUUUUGUUGAAUGUUAUUUAAUUGCUAUAUAUUUUGUAGAUGGUACAAAUAAUGAUCACUGGGACCUGACUUGAAACUAUAUAAUUAUGCUGAUACUUGUUAUGAUUCAUGUCAUUUAUAUAGCGCCUUUCAUCCUAAAGGAUCCUCAAGGUCCUUUACAAAUAGGAGUGCACCCGUGCAGUCCUGAAUUGCAGCUCUCAAAUGGGUGAUAAAAGACACCUCACAAACAAGAGUGCCUUUUGGCUAAUCUUCCUCAGUUAGUAGUAGUUAGUAGCUAAUUGAUCCAAGCUAACAUCCAGCUGUUUCUUGAAAGAACCAGGGUAUCGGCUUUCACAACAUGGCUGGGUAGAUUGCUCCAGACUCCCACAACCCUUUGCGUAAAGAAGCACCUCCUGUUCUUAAAGACACUUCCACUUAUUUAGCUUCCAUGUGAAAUGUGGGACAGCCAUUCUGUGCUAACAGCCUAACUAUAUGGCUGAUCAGGAAUAGGAGGGAGAGAUUGCUCCACCAGUCGAAUCAGGGCGAGCCCUUAGUGAGGCCAGACUGUACAAGCCCGGAGUGGACGACAGCCAGGACACCGAGGUAAACAGCACUACUCUGACAAACGGCGCAAUCGGAUUUUAAAUAACCAAGUAAUCAGGGUCCCGCUUCCUGCAGCCUUGUCUCCUGUCCUGAAUACUGUACAUAUUGUAACGCAUACGGCCACCAUUGAUUGUGAGAGCCGGCUUACCAGCGCGGUGACGUCAGGGUAAGAGUGUGAGCCCGCGCCGCGCUACUGACAGACAAGACGCGGCUGACGCCUAAUUGCCAUCCCAGCCACGUGCUGUGGGAGUGGGGCAGAGUUCACAAAACAGAGGAUGUCCACACAAAAACAAGGAGGCCUUAUGGAAAGACCCCUGCAUUCCCCACCCGGCACGACAAAAAAAACAACAGAAAAGUGGUUCGCCGACAACUGGGGGCCAAUCCGCACCCUUAGUGAAGACACGCCGUCAAUUUGCGUCUGCCUUUAUAUUGUAUCGUCCGCGGAUGAAGAAAACGGCUAAAAGUUGACCGAGUCCCCUCUGACUCGGAUGUGAAGAAAAAACACUUUGAUCGUCGAUUGUCAGAGAAGGCUGUCCUUAACUUACGAUAUCAUUUUUGUGUGUGUGAUUUUACAUAGAAUGCAGAACAUUGAAUGGUGACAUUAGUAUUACUUGUUAUUUUUUAAUAUCAAAUUAAAGAGCUU
ensembl:lincRNA